GCUCUGCAAACAUCUAGCAUGUGGAAUGAGGCCUCCCUCCCAUCAGCAUGUGGCUUAGGAAAAAUACAGAACAGUCUUUCUCGACCCCCCAUCAGCCAUGGAGUAAAUAACCAGGCCUUGAGGUGGAGUACUGCGAAGUUGGGGUGACAGACGCAUCCCGCAUCUUGUGAUAGAAGGUACGUAUAUGCCCAGGGUUUUUAAGUUCACCCUUGAGUCC